rnacentral:rRNA from 1 species
UACGGGGGGGGCAAGCGUUGCUCGGAAUUACUGGGCGUAAAGGGCUCGUAGGUGGCCAACUAAGUCAGACGUGAAAUCCCUCGGCUUAACCGGGGAACUGCGUCUGAUACUGGAUGGCUUGAGUUUGGGAGAGGGAUGCGGAAUUCCAGGUGUAGCGGUGAAAUGCGUAGAUAUCUGGAGGAACACCGGUGGCGAAGGCGGCAUCCUGGACCGAGAUCGACGCUGAGGCGCGAAAGCUAGGGGAGCAAACGGG